rnacentral:tRNA from 1 species
GGAAGGGUGGCCGAGUGGUUGAAGGCUCCGGUCUUGAAAACCGGCGAGGGGUUAAACCCUCCGUGGGUUCGAAUCCCACCCCUUCCG